rnacentral:lncRNA from 1 species
AUACCUAGCAGUAUGUAGUGACAACCCAAUAGAAUUGAAAAAGAACCUCAAGAUAUAGUUCAUAUAUGAUUCAGUCCCUCUAUCACGAUUCCUGACUAGAUGAUAGGUCAUAGAUAAAUCAUCAAAUCUCAUCAUCAGUCAUAUGAUAGAUUCGAUUAACUCAAAUCCAAUUAUGAUCCUCAUGAAAACUUUUUUCUAUCUAUCACAUUACUAUGGUCACAGACUCUCAGACUUAGCAUCUCAAAUUUUAUAAGACUACUCUCUAUCAAGG